rnacentral:rRNA from 1 species
GCACUGGGAUAGCCUCGGGAAACCGAGGUUAAUACCCGGAUACUCCAUAUUUGUCGCAUGGCGAAUAUGGGAAAGCUCCGGCGGCAAAGGAUGGGCCCGCGGCCUGUUAGCUAGUUGGUGGGGUAGUGGCCUACCAAGGCAAUGAUGGGUAGCCGGGUUGAGAGACCGACCGGCCAGAUUGGGGCUGAGACACGGCCCAGACUCCUACGGGAGGCAGCAGCA